rnacentral:rRNA from 1 species
AUUGAACGCUGGCGGCAGGCCUAACACAUGCAAGUCGAGCGAGCGGCGGACGGGUGAGUAAUGUAUGGGGACUGCCCGAUAGAGGGGGCUAACUACUGGAAACGGUGGCUAAUACCGCAUACUAUCGGAUAACCCAUAUGGGAUUAGCUAGUGGGUGGGGUAAAGGCUCACCUAGGCGACGAGGCCUAGCUGGGCUGAGAGGAUGAUCAGCCACACUGGGACUGAGACACGGCCCAGACUCCUACGGAGGCAGCAGUGGGGAAUAUUGAACAAUGGGCGCAAGCCUGAUGGAGCAAUGCCGCGUGUGUGAAGAAGGCCUUAGGGUUGUAAAGUACUUUCGGCGGGGAGGCGUUACCCGAAGAAGAAGCACCGGCUAACUCCGUGCCAGCAGCCGCGGUAAUUC